CCUCACUGAUGCCUCACAAGUCACAAUAACCUCAUAACUCGAGUUGAAAUCGAUUUUGUGACUUUUUCGUAUUCUGGCGAAAACCUCACAGUCACAAGAACCUCAUAAGAAAAAAAAUCAAAAUCAAUAACCAAUUCCAAGAAGACACCCCAAAGCAAUGUAUCCCAAAACGUCUUCCAUUGGAUGUUGGUUGCAUCUGGAGAUAGUUUGUUUCUCAAAGUCAUCGAAUUAUAUUUGCGACAUGGCUUUUGCAUCGGCGUUACUUUGGACGACGAUCACAGCAUAAUGACUUUAUGCUUAAAACGGAAAGAGAGCUGGAGUAGCUCAAGGGGUGGCCAUAUCAUUCAUUACUUCACUCAAAUCGGAAGAGAAAACCAAGUUCAAGGAGGCAAAGCAAACGAGCCAUGUUCGAACCAUAGGAUUUCUUUGCAUACGAAGAACCAAACAAAGAUGAACUCAAAAGCGCAAAUUUCUGCUUCGAUUCAGUUAAAUACCUAACCAUAACAAAGCAUAACAACAAACGUAUCAGCACCUAAUAUGUAUCAAUAAAAAUAACCAGAGUCUAACGAAUUCAACCCCAGCUGGAACAACAUCGACAAAAGCAACAAGAUGCAAAAAAUAUCACAACUUCCAGAAGUCGUUGAGAGUUCACUUGUUUUACCUGGCACUAUUUUAAAAAAUAAAAUUUAAUUGAUAUUUGAUAUAAAAAGAUCUUUACAGGAAUAAAUUUAACAAACUAAAAGAAUUUGUAUACAUUUUUUUUAAUUUUUUUAUUAUUAAUAUUAUUUUCAGUAAAAUGAUUUGAUUAUAAUUAUACAUGUACUAACGUUCAUCUAAAAAUAAAAUUUAAUUAAUAUUCAACAAAAAUCAAAAGUUUGUCGUGUUUUUGUCAAAUACAUGGGUUUGUGCCAUCUAUUCAUGUAAGGGAGACGGACAUUUGUCAUGUCAACAAAAGUCAGCUACCAUCUAGUGCACGUGUUGCUUCCUCCGUUACCGAUGGGAACGCACUGAGAGUUUUGUUGUUGUCUUACUUCAUAGAAGGUGGAAUAAAAAAUGCAACAACAUAUUAACUGUCCAAUCGCAAUAUACCUAAUCUGUUGGCAUUUCGAAAAUAGGUAUACGCAUCAAAAAAAGUAUUCAGUUCUGUAACGUGUAAAGCAAAACCCAAUUAGCUUAUAUUCAGUUAAACGAAAAUAUCAAUGCAAUACCCACCGGCUAGAAUAUAAAUAUAUUUGACAAACAGCAUCAGUUUUCAUGAUGUCAAAUUCGGAUCCACCCAUCGAAUUCUAAGUCCAAAUCUGCGAAGUAAAUUGCAACACAGUCUUUUCGUCCAUUUUUUACUCGCGCAUUUUAAAUUCUCAAACUUUUAAUUAGAUGCUCAAGCCAUAGCACAUAAACACAUUCAAAGUUAGAGCAUCCCACCAGCAGUCAAUGAAGUUUUGCAACAAAAGUAGGUGCGAACUGCGAAUAUGAUUUCUGUAAAUUGGACUGGUUAUAGUGGUUAUGUUGUGCUGAUGGAGUGAAUAAAUUUAUGGUCAACCGACUGAGAUCCACCGGGCAAAUGUGUAGCACUUGCGUACUGUCAUGGAUACGUUGAAUGCAACGCAACCUAUAUAAAAGAUUGAAUCAUAACUUUUUAAAAGAAAUAUCCCACAAAACAAUAAAUUUUACUUGUUGACAAUUGUAAAAAAUUCAGAAAGAAAUGCUGCUGUCAUCACAGGUUGAUAAUGAAUAAAAGUUCCAUAAUUCCAACUUCAUCGUCAUUGUUUUCCUCCAGCAUUGCUCAUCGCCCAACAAAUCUUUCACAAAUACAGUUGUCACCCACUCGUGAUUGACUCUGAAGUGAAAAUAUGAAAAUUAAAAAUAGUUUAAAAAAUGGAAACGGACUGCUUUUACCGGUUUAUUAUCUGAAUGACUUCCAUUACUUGCACCUUCGUCAUCGGAUAUCAUACUUUUGGCUGGGAGGAGGCAAUUGGUAUCAAUGACAAAUGGAACUUUUAUUGAACAUCGUACUCUAUGUGCUGCAUGGGCUUUAGGUGGUUGUUUUCCUGCCGUUUCUUUGGAUCUACAUUAUUAUUGUUUGAUGGAUGGAGUCGGUUUAUGUAGAACAUGCUGAGGAGCACUCUCAUCGCCGACCAUAGGAUAUUGUUGACUUCAUCUGUGUACUAA